rnacentral:lncRNA from 1 species
UUUUGGCGCCCAUACCGGACGGGGUAUGGGGACGGCCCUGGAAUCUGAUUUCAAGUGUUAAGGGUUAACGGGUAGCGGGACCCCUAUGGAUCCCCAUGGAUACUAGUGGGCUGGUAAAAGAGGAAAAUAUGUUGUGUAAUGAUUGAAUUACAAAAGGCGUGAUAAGUAUUAUGUUAUACAGUUUAUAUAUGAUUUCACGAUGAUGAUAAUGUUAUUGCUUUCGUAUACUGUUUUAUGAAUUUCACCGAGGUAAGUGGAUGGUAAAGGAUUUAUUAUUGAC